rnacentral:pre_miRNA from 1 species
UUGGUCCAACUUGCCUUAGAAUAGGGGAGCUUAACUUGUGUUUUUAAUGUUUAAGUUAAAAGCCACUGUUCUAAGACAAUUUGAUGAUCAAA